ensembl:lncRNA
CCACAUAUAAGUGAAAUCGUAUAGUAUUUGUCCUUCUGUGUCUGACUUAUUUCACUUAGUGUAAUGCUCUCAGUUGGACAUUAUAAUAUAUAUGUAUAUAUAUCAUACGAUGUAUAAUAUAUAAUGCCCAAUGUUAUCACAAAUGGCAGGAUUUCCUUCUUUUUUUAUGGCUGAAUAAUGCUCCGUUGUGUAUAUGUAAACCCAUAGAAUCUUAAAUCCUGCAGCAAAGGAGUUCUGUUUGGGCAAACCCCUGGGAUGAAGAUCUUUUAAGGAGAAUGAAAGAGGUGAGCAAAGGUCAGAGGUUUCCUCUUGUAGUCUCUUAGCCCAAUUCUUGGAAGGCAGCCUUUGAGGAAAAGGAAAUGUAGUAUUUAUUGAGUACCUACUAUAUGCUAAGUAUUUUCACAUCCAUCAGUCUAUUAAACACUCACGAAAUCCCUCCAUUAUAUAAUGGAGAAACUGUGGCCCAAGGAAUUUAAGCAACAUGGCAAAGGUGACACAGCUAGUGUGAUGUAAGCCCAGGUCAGUAUGUCUCUAAAGUCCAUAUGUUUUCCUUUAUGUCAAGAGAGCGAGGGAACUUCUAAAGGGCUUGGAUGAGCAAAGGAGGUGAGAGGGAGUGAGGAACAAGAGCAGAGGUGCGGGAUAUACUGGGACUGAGAGUGAGGGUCAGAGGAGGUUGGGCUGGGAGAGACAAGGUGGAUUGAAGGGUCGGAGAAAAGGUGAGAAGCUAAGGGAGUGGGCAGCCCAGAGAUGAACAUGUUACUCAAAGCCUGGUCAUGGAACCUGUAGGCUCAGCUAGGCAGCAGGGACAGGCGCUGGCCUGUGGGCCUCCAGCAUUUGGGAAUUGGGAUCCUCCUAAGGAUCUGGGCAGGUGGGAGCUUGCAAGGAGGUUCCCAGCACUCCUUCUCCAUCCUUUGUGUUCUUUUCCUCUGAGGCUCACCGCAUGGUCUGAGAGCUCCUUGAGAGCAGAGGUCUCCAGCAGCCUGUCUGGAGGUUGGCCAAGAUGCCAUCUCACAAGUAUUUGCAGGAUGGGUGGGGUGGAAUUGAAAGGAAUCACAGAGCAGUGAGGUCACUCCUGUGUGUUGGGUGCUGCAUGCCCCAAGGAGACACCCAGUUCCUAUCCUGAGGGUGACCUCGGGGAGGGAUUCAGGUUUGGCAGUUCUGGGGUGCCCACAGAGCCAGCGCUCCUCUUCUCAGAGAGUGGGAAGCUGUGGGCAGGCAGCUGACCAGUCCUCAUUCACCACUCAGUUAAUUCUUGUGGUUCUGUGGUCCUGGCUGCAUGGCUGCGCCUCCUCCCUCCCCAGUCCCUUGGUGACUGACACAUACGUCCCACAUAGCACUGGGUGGCUCCAGGAGAGAGCCCUGGGUUGGAUGGAGGGGAGAUUGGUUCUUUACCAGCUGUGGGAUCAGGGCAGUCCCUCCCUUACCAGGUUGUGAGAGGUCAGAAUCCCUGCAGAUCCUUCAUUCAUUAAUUCUUGGCUUAAAAAUGUUUAUUUGCAGGAGAUGGAAAAUGCAGAGAAGGCAGAGUCUGAAAUUCUGGAGCUGCAGUUGAAUAACCAGAAGACCCUAGCCAAGUCACUUCACCUCUCUGAGCCUCAGUUUCCUCAUCUGUAAAAUGGGCGUGAGGUUCUCUUACAGGGAGCACAGCCAGAGGCAAGAGAGCAUCUCUUCCCACCAGCCCCGAGGCUUGAGGCAACAGCCACUUCACCUCUCUGAGCCGUGGUUUCCCUGUCUGCCAAAUGGAGAAACGCAGCGCUGGGUGAUAUCAAUUGUUUCUGCCUGCCCUGCGUCCCUUCCAUCUUCUUUUGAAAACAGCACCCAGUUUUCUUUAGGGGAACAUUCCUCUCCCACUCUCAGUUCACCUGGGCACACGGUCUGGGACUGGUCAGUCAGAAUCAGGACAUUCCAUCCUCCUGGUCACAGCAUUUGGUUCAGGAAUGGGCACACGAGCUAAGCCAGAGCAAUCAGAAGUGUCCAGGAGAGAGGCAUGCUCUUUUCCUAUGGGAUUGGGGCACCAGGACGCUGUAAGCCUGGAGCUGCCCCUCCACCUGCCUCAGAGUGAAGCCAGCAAGAGGAAAAAACAUCAGAGAGAGAGAGAACUUGACACCUGGAUGCUGCCAUACCUGUUCCCAGUUUUCAGCUUGGCAGCCAACACUUCGCCUUCUUUUGCCAAAAUCAGUUGGAAUUGGUUGUCUGUCAUUUGUAAUGGAAGUAAUCCUAAUUUAUUCAGGGGUUAAAAACACCUACGUUAAAAGAUUGCUGUAUGGAUCAAAAGAGAAGAUGAUGUAAGGGAAAAUGUUUUUCUAAACUGUAUGUGGCUGAAUGACGGUGAGUUAUUAAUCAGACCCUAAAGCAGGAACACACAUUCCACGAGUGAUGAGUCAGUCCAGUUCUAUCUGAGAGGCUCGAGAAAGCAGACUUUGAAGGUGCUUGCCUGAGCACUGAAGAGCUGUUUGGAAAUGCGAAUUCUUGCCCCCUAAAUUUUCAGUUCACUGGGUGCAUGUUUUCGAAGGAGGAGAUGUCCUUGCGUUGGGGCACAACUCUUUCCUAUGUGACUUGUUCCAAGGUUGGUCAUUUUACAAGAGGCCAUGGGACACAGAGGAAAGAUCCUGGCCUGUUUGGGCAAGUCUCUGCCUCACUCUGAGUCUGUCACCUGAGGGACUGGAUUGGACCUUCCAGUAGGGAGCUCCCAGCUCUGACCCGCUGUGGUCUUGAAAUUCUCAGACCCUAUCCUGGGACAAGGAAAGUCUGCUCACCUCUGGAGUCUGUAGCAUAUACUUGUUCCUGGAUUCUCCUGAGAAGCCACACAUCAAAACCACAGCCCACACCACAAAGAGACUCUGCGGAGUCUGGCAGACAAUGGAGGUCGGCUGGCCCAAUCUCCAUUUCCAGUUCCCUGUUCUUUUCUGCUUAAUCCCAAACUCAAUCUCCCAAUCUGCUUUGUAGCCAAGCGAGGUCACGUGACACAGUGCUGGUGAAAGAGAUGUAGUGGAACUCUGCUGAGGCUGCCUCUUCGCUUCCUAUCCUUUUCCUGCCUGAAACAAUGGCCCGAGGAUGCCGCACAUCUGAGGGUGAUCGAGCAGAAAGAUGGAGAGAGCCUGGUCUCCUGAUGGCAUUGUUGAGCAGCCGCAGAGGCCUGGGCUGCUGACCUCUGGACUUGUCAUUUGAGAAGAAUUCCCCCUCAUUUUCUUGCAUUUAGGCUUCCAUGUUUGGGACUUGAUAUAUGGAGCCAACUGCAUUCCUGGUGCACUAGGCUAGCAUUUGUCUGCAACCAUUCUCUUUUGGUGUCUAGUACAAGUGUUUUCACCUCUAGGACCACACUGAC